rnacentral:rRNA from 1 species
UACGUAGGUGGCAAGCGUUAUCCGGAAUUAUUGGGCGUAAAGCGCGCGCAGGCGGUCCUUUAAGUCUGAUGUGAAAGCCCACGGCUCAACCGUGGAGGGUCAUUGGAAACUGGGGGACUUGAGUGCAGAAGAGGAGAGCGGAAUUCCACGUGUAGCGGUGAAAUGCGUAGAGAUGUGGAGGAACACCAGUGGCGAAGGCGGCUCUUUGGUCUGUAACUGACGCUGAGGCGCGAAAGCGUGGGGAGCAAACAGG